CCGUGCCUCUGGUCCAGCCGCUUGUUUGGCUGCUGCCGUCACCUCAUGGCGACUCGGCUUGAGGAGGCAACGCGGGGAAGAGGCGGCGGUACUGAGGAGGCUAUUGAGGGCGGACCGGGCGGACGGGGCGGACGGCGACGCAGCCCCCCGGAGAAGGUCAGUGGAGGAGACGCCUUCGUUGUGGUUGGGUCGCAGGGAUGAUUAGGUUACCCUUUUUGGGGUUCACCUCUUCACUUACCCCCUUUACCUUAAGCUGUGGGACGAACAUCCGGCCCUUUCCCCCUUUCCUUUCAGAAGAGUGACGAUAGUUGGGAGCAGGUGGGGGGGCGGUUUGAGAGUGAAAUGGAUCGGGUGAGAAGGGACGACGGUUGGGACUUGGGAACCCUAGGCGGUAGGGGGCUGAGGGAGGACAGGGUGGCCC
rnacentral:lncRNA from 1 species